UGGACCCGGCGCCUUGCCCCCAGAUCUGCAUCGGAAUGCAGAAAAGAUCUUUUUUUAAAAAAAAAAAAAAAAAAAGUUUUGAAUUCCUCAAUGAUUUUUCUUCUGGAAAGGCAGCUUAGGAUAAUUAUUUCAGCUUUAUUGAGGGCAGAUUAGUUGAAGUCUGGGCGCUGCGUUUCAAUACGCGUUGUACACGGGCCGACAAUGUGG
rnacentral:lncRNA from 10 species